CCCGGGGGGGCCGGGAGCGCUUGGCCGCGGGCGCACCCUGCGCGCCCACCCCCGCGUGGCCCCCUCCCCGGCCGCCCGCCCGGCUGCGCCCCACCCCGCGGCCUCCAGGGCUCCAGGGCUCCGGGGGGCGGCUGGGGGGGGGUAGGGAGGCGCGGGGCUUCAUUUGUUUCCUCGGCCCGUCCCUUCCAGGCGGCGCCCUCCCUCCUUCGUGUCUCCCCGGCCCGGGUGACACUGGGUGGCGUGUGCCGCGGCGUGUGUACGACAGCGAGUGUGUGCACGCCUCCGCCGCUACGGGCGAAGCAUUCGGCUCUUAUUCAUGGAGAACUCUGUGCGCACACACGCCCCCCUCGCGGACACGGCGGGCGGCGCGCCCCGAGCGCUGCGCCCUGGCCGCCCCGGCCGCCCGGCGCGCACCCCAAUCUGAAGCCCGGGGACCCCCACCCCGUCCCACCCAUCCGGACGCCGGAUCCCAGCCUGGGGAGAGGGAAUCGAGGCUGCGCGCGGCUCCCCGGCUCUCGGCCACCCUCCUCCCAAAGCCCGCCCGGCUCGGACGCGGGGUGCGCGGCUCCGGGUCCCCAGCACCCGCGCGCGCCCCCGCAGGCCCUUGCACCGGGGGCGUCUCCGCGCCCUCCCCCCGCCCCCGAGGCCUCGACCCCCCCCCUCCCCAGGCCUCGCAGGGCGCGGGCGGCGGUCGCUUACCUGGGUCCCCGGAGAUGCUGGCGCCCGGCCGGCGCGGCUGCGCUGUCCCCUCCGUGGGCUGCGGGCGGGCGCGGGGCUGGAGGCCCAUGUCAGCGCCGGGGUCGGCUUCCCUCUGCUCGGGCGCGCAGGGCGGCGAGCCUCCGGGACACUCCCCUCCCAGGCCCCUCCCGCGCCCUCCCUCCCGCGCCCUCCGCGCUGAUGUCACGCCGCCGCCGCAGCCAAUGGCAUCUGCGAGCCCCGCCCGGCCGCUCGGCCUCCUCGGUUCAAAUGUGCGAGGGUGAGCCCGUCGGAGCCCGGGUGGGGCGGCCCGGGGCGCGGAGGUCGGGGGGGGGCGGGCCGGAGGGGUCCCGGGGAGCCCCAGCGGCGACCAGGAGCCAGUGCUCCCCGCACCCUCGCCCCUGCUUCCCGGCCCCGGGGAGCGAGGGGGGCUCUGCGCCCCCAGGGCGGGGGAUUCCGUCCCGGACUCUUCCUGGAAGCCCCGGGGGGCCCCCGAGCGGGUGCCCGAGGGGAUCUGGGCGGGGUGACCCGGCUCUGACCGGCCUGAGCCCAGCGUCAGCUCUGAGUGUCCGGCGGAGACCUCUCAGUUCUGCUUGGGGGGACCCUCUAGGAGACGAUGGGGUCCCGGAGAAGCAGGUCCUGCGCUCGCCUCUUCCAGGAAUCGCUUUGCAUUUGCAGAUGGUUGUUAGGCACGCCCGGAGUGGGAGUUCCCUUGCUGUGAGCCGCUGCCCCGGGCGGUAA
rnacentral:lncRNA from 12 species